AUUGAACGCUGGCGGCAGGCCUAACACAUGCAAGUCGAGCGGGGGUAGCAAUACCCUAGCGGCGAACGGGUGAGGAAUGCUUGGGAAUCUGCCUGGUAGUGGGGGGAUAACGUUCCGAAAGGAACGCUAAUACCGCAUACGUCCUACGGGAGAAAGGGGGGAGUCUUCGGACCUCUCGCUAUCAGAUGAGCCCAAGCGGGAUUAGCUAGUUGGUGAGGUAAAGGCUCACCAAGGCGACGAUCCCUAGCUGGUCUGAGAGGAUGAUCAGCCACACUGGAACUGAGACACGGUCCAGACUCCUACGGGAGGCAGCAGUGGGGAAUAUUGGACAAUGGGGGAAACCCUGAUCCAGCCAUGCCGCGUGUGUGAAGAAGGCCUUCGGGUUGUUAAA
rnacentral:rRNA from 1 species